AGACAAUGAGGAUCAGGUCUGUCAGGGCGCUGCCCAUGGAAACGGGGAUCAGCAUGUUUUUCCUCCUCCAGGAGACAUUCCUCCGCGGAUCAGACCAUGCUCCUUCCACAUUGAAAGCCUGUGCUCACACUUUGAAUAUGUUGACUGAAAGACCUUCAUGAGCCGGACACGCUCCUUGGUGUUACACUUGCAGGAGUUGCCGAUGGAGGCCUGCAGUACUCUCGGAGUUGUUGGCAGCUUUAAAGGACUUGACCAAUUGGAUCUAACAGACAUCUACAGAAAAUUCCACCCAGCAAUUACAGAAUAUACAUUGUUCUCAACUGCAUGUGGAGCAUAUUCUAAGAUAAAAUAGUCAUAAAUCAAGCCUCAAUAAAUUCGAAAAAAUGAAAUCAUAUCAUACCAAGCACAAUCUUGAACCACAGUGCAAUAAGAAAAGAAAUCAAUGCCAGGCCAGGCAUGGUGGCUCAUGCCUGUAAUCCCAGUGCUUUGGGAGGCUGAGAUGGGUGGAUCACUAGGUCAAGAGAUCAAGACCAUCCUGGCCAACAUGGUGAAAUCCCAUCUCUACUAAAAAUACAAAAACUAGCUGGGCAUGGUGGCACAUGCCUAUAAUCCCAGCUAUUCAGGAAACUGAGGCCAGAGAAUCACUUGAACCUGGGAGGCGGGGGUUGUGGUGAGCCGAGAUCGUGCCACUGCACUCCAGCCUGGUGACAGGGCAAGACUCCAUCUCAAAAAUAAAUAAAUAAAAUCAAUACCAAGCUAUCUAAAAACUACACAAAUACAUGGAAGUUAGACAACUGACUCCUGAGUAACUCCUGGAUGAACAUCAAAAUUAAGGCAGGAGUUUAAAAAUACUUUGAAAUUAAUGAAGGAGAGAGGAAAUUUACUAAAAUUUCUUGGAUACAGCCAAAGCAGUGUUAAGAGGAAAGUUUGUAGACCAGCCUAAAUGACUUCAUUAAGAAUUUAUAAAGGUCUUAAAUUAACAGUGUAACUUUACACCUAAAGGAAGUAGAAAAAAGAGCAA
rnacentral:lncRNA from 1 species